UACGUAGGGUGCAAGCGUUUGUCCGGAAUUAUUGGGCGUAAAGAGCUUGUAGGCGGUUUGUCGCGUCUGCUGUGAAAUUUCGGGGCUCAACCCCGAACUUGCAGUGGGUACGGGCAGACUAGAGUGUGGUAGGGGAGACUGGAAUUCCUGGUGUAGCGGUGGAAUGCGCAGAUAUCAGGAGGAACACCGGUGGCGAAGGCGGGUCUCUGGGCAGUAACUGACGCUGAGGAGCGAAAGCAUGGGGGAGCGAACAGG
rnacentral:rRNA from 1 species